rnacentral:rRNA from 1 species
CCUGGUUGAUCUUGCCAGUAGUCAUAUGCUUGUCUCACAGAUUAAGCCAUGCAAGUGAAAGUACAUAUGUAAAUAAUAUAUUGAAACUGCGAACGGCUCAUUAAAACAGUUAUAAUCUACUUGAUGUUUUUAAUAUAAGGAUAACUACGGAAAAUCUGUAGCUAAUACUUGUGAAAAUACCUUUUGAUAUAUACAUAUGUAUGUAUCAUUAAGGUAUGUAUUUGUUAGAUAUAAGAAUAAAAUAAAUAUAAUUGAAUUAUAACAAAGAAGAAACACAUAAAAUAUGUGUAUUAUCAAUCGAGUAUCUGACCUAUCAGCUUUUGAUGUUAGGGUAUUGACCUAACAUGGCUAUGACGGGUAACGGGGAAUUAGAGUUCGAUUCCGGAGAGGGAGCCUGAGAAAUAGCUACCACAUCUAAGGAAGGCAGCAGGCGCGUAAAUUACCCAAUUCUAAAAAAGAGAGGUAGUGACAAGAAAUAACAAUACAAUAUCGAAAAAUGAUUUUGUAAUUGGAAUGAUAGGAAUUUACAAGGUUCCUAGAGAAACAAUUGGAGGGCAAGUCUGGUGCCAGCAGCCGCGGUAAUUCCAGCUCCAAUAGCAUAUAUUAAAAUUGUUGCAGUUAAAACGUUCGUAGUUGAAUAUUAAAGAAUCCGAUGUUUCAUUUAAACUGGUUUGGGAAAACCAAAUAUAUUAUAUAUUUUGCUUUGUUCAAAAUAAGGUUUUCUAAUAAAUUAUGUUUUUAUCAGAUAUGACAGAAUCUUUUUUAAAAUCUCUUCAAUAUGCUUUUAUUGCUUUUGAGAGGUUUUGUUACUUUGAGUAAAAUUAAGUGUUCAUAACAGACGGGUAGUCAUGAUUGAGUUCAUUGUGUUUGAAUACUACAGCAUGGAAUAACAAAUAUGAAUAAGCUAAUUAUUUUUUUUUUUCAUUAUUUUUUUUGAUAUUCUUAUUAGCUUAGUUACGAUUAAUAGGAGUAGCUUUGGGGGCAUUCGUAUUCAGAUGUCAGAGGUGAAAUUCUAAGAUUUUCUGGAGACGGACUACUGCGAAAGCAUUUGCCUAAUCUAUUUCCAUUAAUCAAGAACGAAAGUUAAGGGAGUGAAGACGAUCAGAUACCGUCGUAAUCUUAACCAUAAACUAUACCGACUAGGUGUUGGAUGAAUAUAAAAAAUAUAUAAAUAUGUAGCAUUUCUUAGGGAAUGUUGAUUUUAUAUUAGAAUUGCUUCCUUCAGUACCUUAUGAGAAAUCAAAGUCUUUGGGUUCUGGGGCGAGUAUUCGCGCAAGCGAGAAAGUUAAAAGAAUUGACGGAAGGGCACCACCAGGCGUGGAGCUUGCGGCUUAAUUUGACUCAACACGGGAAAACUCACUAGUUUAAGACAAGAGUAGGAUUGACAGAUUAAUAGCUCUUUCUUGAUUUCUUGGAUGGUGAUGCAUGGCCGUUUUUAGUUCGUGAAUAUGAUUUGUCUGGUUAAUUCCGAUAACGAACGAGAUCUUAACCUGCUAAUUAGCGGUAAGUACACUAUAUUUUUAUUUGAAAUUGAAUAUAGGUAAUUAUACAUGUUUAUUCAGUGUUCAAAUUAGGAUAUUUUUUUUAUUAAAAUAUUCUUUUCCCUGUUCUACUAUAAUAAUUUGUUUUUUUUUACUCUAUUUCUCUCUUCUUUUAAGAAUGUACUUGUUUGAUUAAAUAAAGCUUCUUAGAGGAACAGUGUGUAUCUAACACAAGGAAGUUUAAGGCAACAACAGGUCUGUGAUGUCCUUAGAUAAACUAGGCUGCACGCGUGCUACAAUGAUAUAUAUAACAAGUUGUUAAAAAUGUACUUAUAAAUAAGUGUGUACAAUUUUUCCUGUACUGAAAAGUAUAGGUAAUCUUUAUCAGUAUAUAUCGUAAUUGGGAUAGAUUAUUGCAAUUAUUAAUCUUGAACGAGGAAUGCCUAGUAAGCAUGAUUCAUUAGAUUGUGCUGACUACGUCCCUGCCCUUUGUACACACCGCCCGUCGCUCCUACCGAUUGAAAGAUAUGAUAAAUUGUUUGGAUAUGAAUUAAAAUAAUGAAAUUUUAUAUUUCUGAUUUUUUCUAGAAGAACUGUAAAUCCUAUCUUUUAAAGGAAGGAGAAGUCGUAACAAGGUUUCCGUAGGUGAACCUGCGGAAG